UACGUAGGGUGCGAGCGUUGUCCGGAAUUAUUGGGCGUAAAGGGCUCGUAGGCGGUUUGUCGCGUCGGGAGUGAAAUCCACUGGCUUAACUGGUGGCUUGCUUUCGAUACGGGCAGACUGGAGGUAUGCAGGGGAGAACGGAAUUCCUGGUGUAGCGGUGAAAUGCGCAGAUAUCAGGAGGAACACCGGUGGCGAAGGCGGCUUGCUGGGCGUGAUCUGACGCUGAGGCGCGAAAGCGUGGGGAGCGAACAGG
rnacentral:rRNA from 1 species